rnacentral:lncRNA from 1 species
AUGGGCUGCAUGGAUUUCUGCUCCACUGUGCUCUUUACCAUGGCCUGCAGGGGAAUAUUUGUGCCAGUAUUUGCAGCAUCUUCUGCCCCUCCUGCUCCACUGACCUUGGUGCUCACACUGACACUUUUCACAGCUCAGUCGUGCCCUGUGGCAGCUGGUUGGAUCUGGUUGGAACCGGCUGUGCCUGGCUGGAACUGGCUGUGCCUGGUUGGAACCGGCUCUGUCUGGUUGGAACCGGCUCUGUCUGGUUGGAACUGGCUGUGUCUAGUUGGAACUGGCUGUGCCUGGCUGGAACUGGCUGUGCCUGGUUGGAACCGGCUCUGUCUGGUUGGAACUGGCUGUGCCUGGCUGGAACCGGCUGUGCCUGGAUGGAACCGGCUGUGCCUGGCUGGAACCGGCUGUGUCUGGUUGGAACCGGCUGUGCCUGGCUGGAACCGGCUGUGUCCGGCUGGAACCGGCUGUGUCCGGCUGGAACCGGCUGUGUCCGGCUGGAACCGGCUGUGUCUGGUUGGAACCAGCUGUGUCUGGCUGGAACCGGCUGUGCCUGGCUGGAACCGGCUGUGUCCGGCUGGAACCGGCUGUGUCCGGCUGGAACCGGCUGUGUCCGGUUGGAACCAGCUGUGUCUGGCUGGAACCGGCUGUGCCUGGCUGGAACCGGCUGUGUCUGGCUGGAACCGGCUGUGCCUGGCUGGAACCGGCUGUGUAUGGCUGGAACCGGCUGUGUAUGGCUGGAACCAUCUGUGUCUGGCUGGAACCGGCUGUGUCCGGCUGGAACCGGCUGUGUAUGGCUGGAACCGGCUGUGUCUCUCUGGGGCUGCCCCUGCAUCCCCUCACAGAGCCCCUGCAGCCUCCCCUGCUGAGUCCUUAGAGCCCACCCUCAAUACAAAGCUCAGCAAACAACUUGCAUUUUUUGUCAGAGGCCUAAGAAAUAAUAAUUUAAACACACCUCAAUUUACUUUUUUCAGUAGAGUUCCAGCAGUUUAUUUCAAUCCCAGUGUCUCUUGA